GCUGCCUUGCACUUAGGGAAGGUUCACAUGCCUCAGGGAUCUCUCUCUCUCAGAUUUCUUGACUUUCCCUCAGUCUUCAGUAUAGUCCUCCUCUGUGCCUGGUGAAGACCUGUGGUAAAGUGCUGGCAGAGCUGCCGGCUUCCCCUUGAAGGAAUAGGAGUAGACCUGCUGAACUAUCACAUGAGAGAAGAGGCCCAAAAGCUUGCACACUACAGUCAAGCUGGCCCUUAAAGAGAUGGACCUAGAAGAUGCUGAGCCAGAUAUACUCAAUUACUUCUCCAAAAUCCAUCAAUUAGGAAUACAACAUGUUUAAGACCACAGAACAUCUGCAUAGGCUGUAAAUUUCGUUAAAUGAUGGAUGCAAAGAUGGAAGACAGAUGGAUAGAGAAAAAGACAGAAUCAGAUACUGGAUGAGUUAGUACUGCUGCUUGUGCUUCAGAGCUGUCUUAUUACCACAAGGCCGGCAAGCAUCAAUGUCCCCACAUCCCCCUCUGCCUCCCCCUGAAAUGUACCGAUUUAUAUGAAAAUUAAGAU
rnacentral:antisense_RNA from 1 species